GACGUAGGAGGCGAGCGUUAUCCGGAUUCACUGGGCGUAAAGCGCAUGUAGGCGGAUGUCUAAGUCGUGUGUUAAAGCCCCUGGCUCAACUGGGGGAGGUCAUGCGAGACUGGAUGACUUGAGGGCAACAGAGGCACGUGGAACUCCCGGUGUAGCGGUGGAAUGCGUAGAGAUCGGGAAGAACACCCGUGGCGAAGGCGGCUCUCUGGAACGGUACUGACGCUGAGACGCGAAAGCGUGGGGAGCGAACAGG
rnacentral:rRNA from 1 species